rnacentral:rRNA from 1 species
AACGAACGCUGGCGGCAUGCCUAACACAUGCCAGUCGAACGAGACCUUCGGGUCUAGUGGCGCACGGGUGCGUAACGCGUGGGGAUCUGCCCUUGGGUUCGGAAUAACAGUUGGAAACGACUGCUAAUACCGGAUGAUGACGUAAGUCCAAAGAUUUAUCGCCCAAGGAUGAGCCCGCGUAGGAUUAGCUAGUUGGUGAGGUAAAGGCUCACCAAGGCGACGAUCCUUAGCUGGUCUGAGAGGAUGAUCAGCCACACUGGGACUGAGACACGGCCCAGACUCCUACGGGAGGCAGCAGUGGGGAAUAUUGGACAAUGGGCGAAAGCCUGAUCCAGCAAUGCCGCGUGAGUGAUGAAGGCCUUAGGGUUGUAAAGCUCUUUUACCCGGGAUGAUAAUGACAGUACCGGGAGAAUAAGCUCCGGCUAACUCCGUG